GAUGAACGCUGGCGGCGUGCCUUAUACAUGCAAGUCGAGUGGGUUUAGACCCACGGCAAACGGGUGAGUAACACGUAGGUCCUUUCCUUGUCACAGGAAUAACCCUCCGAAAGGAGGGCUAAUACCUGAUGUGAUCGCAAGAUUAAAGGGUUUCCGCAAGGAUUACCGGACAAGAAGAGGCCUGCGGCCUAUCAGCUAGUUGGCGGGGUAAAUGCCCACCAAGGCUAUGACGGGUAGCGGGUCUUAUGAGGAUGAGCAGUCACAUGGGCACUGAGACACGGGCCCAACUCCUACGGGAGGCAGCAGUAGGGAAUUUUGCGCAAUGGGCGAAAGCCUGACGCAGCGACGCCGCGUGCGGGAUGAAGGCCUUCGGGUCGUAAACCGCUUUUAUAAGGGACGAACUUUGACGGUACCUUAUGAAUAAGAGGUUGCUAACUCUGUG
rnacentral:rRNA from 1 species